rnacentral:rRNA from 1 species
AGAGUUUGAUCAUGGCUCAGAUUGAACGCUGGCGGCAGGCCUAACACAUGCAAGUCGAACGGUAACAGGAAACAGCUUGCUGUUUCGCUGACGAGUGGCGGACGGGGGAGUAAUGUCUGGGAAACUGCCUGAUGGAGGGGGAUAACUACUGGAAACGGUAGCUAAUACCGCAUAACGUCGCAAGACCAAAGAGGGGGACCUUCGGGCCUCUUGCCAUCGGAUGUGCCCAGAUGGGAUUAGCUAGUAGGUGGGGUAACGGCUCACCUAGGCGACGAUCCCUAGCUGGUCUGAGAGGAUGACCAGCCACACUGGAACUGAGACACGGUCCAGACUCCUACGGGAGGCAGCAGUGGGGAAUAUUGCACAAUGGGCGCAAGCCUGAUGCAGCCAUGCCGCGUGUAUGAAGAAGGCCUUCGGGUUGUAAAGUACUUUCAGCGGGGAGGAAGGGAGUAAAGUUAAUACCUUUACUCAUUGACGUUACCCGCAGAAGAAGCACCGGCUAACUCCGUGCCAGCAGCCGCGGUAAUACGGAGGGUGCAAGCGUUAAUCGGAAUUACUGGGCGUAAAGCGCACGCAGGCGGUUUGUUAAGUCAGAUGUGAAAUCCCCGGGCUCAACCUGGGAACUGCAUCUGAUACUGGCAAGCUUGAGUCUCGUAGAGGGGGGUAGAAUUCCAGGUGUAGCGGUGAAAUGCGUAGAGAUCUGGAGGAAUACCGGUGGCGAAGGCGGCCCCCUGGACGAAGACUGACGCUCAGGUGCGAAAGCGUGGGGAGCAAACAGGAUUAGAUACCCUGGUAGUCCACGCCGUAAACGAUGUCGACUUGGAGGUUGUGCCCUUGAGGCGUGGCUUCCGGAGCUAACGCGUUAAGUCGACCGCCUGGGGAGUACGGCCGCAAGGUUAAAACUCAAAUGAAUUGACGGGGGCCCGCACAAGCGGUGGAGCAUGUGGUUUAAUUCGAUGCAACGCGAAGAACCUUACCUGGUCUCGACAUCCACAGAACUUUCCAGAGAUGAAAAGGUGCCUUCGGGAACCGUGAGACAGGUGCUGCAUGGCUGUCGUCAGCUCGUGUUGUGAAAUGUUGGGUUAAGUCCCGCAACGAGCGCAACCCUUAUCCUUUGUUGCCAGCGGUCCGGCCGGGAACUCAAAGGAGACUGCCAGUGAUAAACUGGAGGAAGGUGGGGAUGACGUCAAGUCAUCAUGGCCCUUACGACCAGGGCUACACACGUGCUACAAUGGCGCAUACAAAGAGAAGCGACCUCGCGAGAGCAAGCGGACCUCAUAAAGUGCGUCGUAGUCCGGAUUGGAGUCUGCAACUCGACUCCAUGAAGUCGGAAUCGCUAGUAAUCGUGGAUCAGAAUGCCACGGUGAAUACGUUCCCGGGCCUUGUACACACCGCCCGUCACACCAUGGGAGUGGGUUGCAAAAGAAGUAGGUAGCUUAACCUUCGGGAGGGCGCUUACCACUUUGUGAUUCAUGACUGGGGUGAAGUCGUAACAAGGUAACCGUAGGGGAACCUGCGGUUGGAUCACCU